UCCCAACUCGCAGGAGAGCCCAGG
rnacentral:piRNA from 1 species